rnacentral:rRNA from 1 species
AGUGAACGCUGGCGGUAGGCCUAACACAUGCCAGUCGAACGGCAGCACAGUAAGAGCUUGCUCUUACGGGUGGCGAGUGGCGGACGGGUGAGGAAUACAUCGGAAUCUACUUUUUCGUGGGUGAUAACGUAGGGAAACUUACGCUAAUACCGCAUACGACCUACGGGUGAAAGCAGGGGAUCUUCGGACCUUGCGCGAUUGAAUGAGCCGAUGUCGGAUUAGCUAGUUGGCGGGGUAAAGGCCCACCAAGGCGACGAUCCGUAGCUGGUCUGAGAGGAUGAUCAGCCACACUGGAACUGAGGCACGGUCCAGACUCCUACGGGAGGCAGCAGUGGGGAAUAUUGGACAAUGGGCGCAAGCCUGAUCCAGCCAUACCGCGUGGGUGAAGAAGGCCUUCGGGUUGUAAAGCCCUUUUGUUGGGAAAGAAAAGCAGCAGGUUAAUACCCCGCUGUUCUGACGGUACCCAAAGAAUAAGCACCGGCUAACUUCGUG